rnacentral:rRNA from 1 species
AAGUCGUAACAAGGUCUCCGUUGGUGAACCAGCGGAGGGAUCAUUAUAGAGUUAUAAAACGCUCAAAACCCUUUGUAAACCCUUUACCUUAGUUGCUUCGGCGGCGCCCUUUAGGGGGAUGCCCGCCGGCAGUAUACCGAAUCUCUGUUUUCGAACCCGACGUAACGUCUGAGUGUUCUAAGCGAACUGUUAAAACUUUCAGCAACGGAUCUCUUGGCUCCAGCAUCGAUGAAGAACGCAGCGAAACGCGAUAAGUAAUGUGAAUUGCAGAAUUCAGUGAAUCAUCGAAUCUUUGAACGCACAUGGCGCCCCCUGGUAUUCCGGGGGGCAUGCCUGUCCGAGCGUCGUUUCAACCCUCCGGAAGGGUCGUCCUCACGGGCGGCCCCGCACCGGGCGUUGGGGAUCUGCGAACGUAGCAGGCCCCGAAAAUCAGCGGCGGACCCGCGCGGCCCCUCCCUUGCGUAGUAGCAUCAGCCUCGCAUCGGUGACCCGCGGGACUCCAGCCCCUAAACCCCCUACAAGCCCGGCCUAGCCGGCACAAGGUUGACCUCGGAUCAGGUAGGAAUACCCGCUGAACUUAA